rnacentral:rRNA from 1 species
GGUUAAGUUAGAAAGGGCGCACGGUGAAUGCCUUGGCACUAGGAGCCGAAGAAGGACGCGACGAACGGCAGUAUGCCUCCGGGGAGUUGUAAGUAAACUUUGAUCAGGGAUUUCCGAAUGGGGGAACCCACCAUCCGUAAUGGGAUGGUAUCCAUAACUGAAUACAUAGGUUAUGAGAAGGUAGACCUGGGGAACUGAAGCAGCUAAGUACCCAGAGGAAGAGAAAGAAAUAUUCGAUUACCUGAGUAGCGGCGAGCGAAACGGUAACAGCCCAAACCAAGGGGCUUGCCCGGCAGGGUUGUAGGACACUCUACACGGAGUUACAAAGAAACGAAGUAGACGAAGCGAUCUGGAAAGGUCCGCGAAACAAGGUAACAGCCCUGUAAUCGAAACUUCGUUUCCUCCAGAGUGUAUCCUGAGUACGGCCAGGACACGUGAAACCCCGUCGGAAUCGGAGGACCAUCUCCCAAGGCUAAAUACUUCCUAGUGACCGAUAGUGAACCAGUACCGUGAGGGAAAAGGUGAAAAGCACCCCGGGAGGAGGUAGAAAGAGAUCCUGAAGGCGAUUUAUUGCCUACAAGUAGUUGGAGCCCGAUGUUUAUUUUCCUUCGGAAAAAAACUGGGUGACAGCGUGCCUUUGUAGAAUGAACCGGCGAGUUACGAUUACGUGCAAGGUUAAGCUGAUAAGGCGGAGCCGCAGCAGAAAGCGAGUCUGAAUAGGGCGAAUGAGUACGUGGUCGUAGACCCGAAACCGUGUGAUCUACCCAUGUCAGGGUGAAGUUCAGGUAACACUGAAUGGAGGGCCCGAACCCACGCACGUUGAAAAGUGCGGGGAUGAGAGGAUAUUAAUUGAGGUAAAUGCCAAUCGAACUCGGAGAUGUACAGGUUCUCCCCGAAAUAGCUUUAGGGCUAGCCUCGAGGGAAGAGUAUUGGAGUAGAGCACUGAUUGGACUAGGGAUUCCCCACAGGAUUACCGAAUUCAGUCAAACUCGAAUGCCAAAUACUUAUCCUCGGGAGUCAGACUGCGAGUGCUAAGAUCCGUAGUCAAGAGGGAAACAGCCCAGACCAUCAGCUAAGGUCCCCAAGUAUACGUUAAGUGAAGGAUGUGGAGUUGCCCGAACUAGCCAGGAUGUUGGCUUAGAAGCAGCCACCAUUUAAAGAGUGCGUAAUAGCUCACUGGUCGAGUGACUCUGCGCCGAAAAUGUACCGGGGCUAAACGUAUCACCGAAGCUAUGGAUUGCACACCUUAGGUGUGCAGUGGUAAGGAGCGUUCUAAGUGCUGUGAAGUCAGACCGGAAGGACUGGUGGAGCGCUUAGAAGUGAGAAUGCCGGUAUGAGUAGCGAAAAGAGGGGUGAAUCCCCUCCGUCGAAAGCCCAAGGUUUCUGAGGAAGGCUCGUCCGCUCAGGGUAAGUCGGGACAACCGAGGCUGAAAAGCGUAGGCGAUGGACAACAGGUUGAAAUUCCUGUACCACCUCCUCACCGUUUGAGCAAUGGGGGGACGCAGCAAGGUAGGGCCAAGCGCACUGAUGGAUAUGUGCGUCCAAGCAAUUAGGCUGAGAAGUAGGCAAAUCCACUUCUCGCGUGUGCUGGAGAGUUGUGAUGGCGAGCGAAAUUAUAGUAGCGGGGUUCUGAUCCUACACUGCCAAGAAAAACUCUAGCGAGGUGAGAGGUGCCCGUACCGCAAACCGACACAGGUAGGCGAGAAGAGAAUUCUAAGACGCUCGGGAGAACUCUCGUUGAGGAACUCGGCAAAAUGACCCCGCUUCGGGAGAAGGGGUGCUCUGUUAGAGUGUUCGCGCCCGGGGAGAGCCGCAGUGAAUAGAUCAAGCGACUGUUUAGCAAAAACACAGGUCUCUGCGAAGCCGCAAGGCGAAGUAUAUAGGGCGACACCUGCCCGGUGCUGGAAGGUUAAGAGGAGGGUUAUCCUUAAGGAGAAGCUCUGAAUUAUUUAUUAAACGGCGGCCGUAACUAUAACGGUCCUAAGGUAGCGAAAUUCCUUGUCGGGUAAGUUCCGACCCGCACGAAUGGUUGUAACGCGAUUUGGAUACUGUCUCAACGAGAGACCCGGUGAAAUUAUAUUACCUGUGAAGAUGCAGGUUACCCGCGACAGGACGGAAAGACCCCAUGGAGCUUUACUGUAGCGAUAUUGGAUUUUGGUACAAUUUGCAGGAUAGGUAGGAGCCUUUGAAGCGUGACGCCAGCUGGCGUAGCUGCGAUGGAGGCGUCGGUGGGAUACUACCCUGAUUGUAUUGAAAUUCUAACCUAGGACCGUGAUCCGGUUCGGGGACAGUGUCAGGUGGGCAGUUUGACUGGGGCGGUCGCCUCUAAACAGUAACGGAGGCGCCCAAAGGUUCCCUCAGAAUGGUUGGAAAUCAUUCGUAGGUGCAAAGGCAUAAGGGAGCUUGACUGCGAGACCUACAAGUCGAGCAGGGACGAAAGUCGGGCUUAGUGAUCCGGUGGUUCCGCAUGGAAGGGCCAUCGCUCAACGGAUAAAAGCUACCCUGGGGAUAACAGGCUUAUCUCCCCCAAAGUCCACAUCGACGGGAGGUUUGGCACCUCGAUGUCGGCUCAUCGCAUCCUGGGGCUAGUAGGUCCCAAGGGUUGGGCUGUUCGCCCAUUAAAGCGGUACGCGAGCUGGGUUCAGAACGUCGUGAGACAGUUCGGUCCCUAUCCGUCGCGGGCGUAGGAAAUUUGAGAGAGGCUGUCCUUAGUACGAGAGGACCGGGAUGGACAUACCGCUGGUGCCAGUUGUUCCGCCAGGAGCAUAGCUGGGUAGCUACGUAUGGAAGGGAUAAGUGCUGAAAGCAUCUAAGCAUGAAGCCCUCAAGAUGAGAUUUCCCUUGGAGUUAAUCCAGUAAGACCCCUUAAAGAUGAUGAGGUUGAUAGGUCUCGGGUGGAAGCACGGUGACGUGUGGAGGCUGAGAGAUACUAAUCGGUCAGACGUAUCUAA